UACAGAGGUCUCAAGCGUUGUUCGGAUUCAUUGGGCGUAAAGGGUGCGUAGGUGGCGCGGUAAGUCGGGUGUGAAAUCUCGGAGCUUAACUCCGAAAUUGCAUUCGAUACUGCCGUGCUUGAGGACUGGAGAGGAGACUGGAAUUCGAUGGUGUAGCAGUGAAAUGCGUAGAGAUCAUGAGGAAGACCAGUGGCGAAGGCGGGUCUCUGGACCGGUACUGACGCUGAUGCGCGAAAGCGUGGGGAGCAAACGGG
rnacentral:rRNA from 1 species